CACCCAAGAGUGACAGUGACUUUCGUGGUGACACUGACCUUCGUCCCCAAGCCCCAGGGCUGUUGGGAAAUCAGCCCGGGGAUGGCGUCUGAGGCUGUUCCAGGCCAGCAGCGCGGGCGGCAGGCGCAGGGACAGGAAGGCUGCGCGCAUCUUGUCUGGCGACAGCCCCGUGUCCCACAGGAUGGCAGCCGUGGCUCCCACCGUGUAGCCCCUCUGCAGCCCCUUCCUUGGCCAGGGCUUCCCGUUGAACCAGAACUCGACGACGCCGGUGGCGGAUUCCC